GGUCGCAGAGACCCUUAGGUGUGACUGCCUAUAGACGUGUGGCGACGAGGCAACGAGGUGGAGCAACCGCGUGGCUGACAUGAAUAAGAAGACGACGUCUACACGCGAGUCCGGAGUGUUGAAGAUGAUCUGCGCUGACUGAGAGGCCCUGAGGAGUCGGCGACGAGAACGCACAGCAAGCGCGACCUGCACUAACACAGUCCGCUACUGAAAUAAUGUGGCGUCUCUGUCUGGAUGAUCCUCCGUGGGCUUCAGAUGAUAAGAUGACACGUAUUUUUGUUCGGACUCGGAUGUGGUGUAGUGCUCGGAGGCGCCAGUCGUGUGCAGAUCUCAGUGUUAGAGAGCCGGUAACACCUCAUCCAUCUGAGCUAACAGAGGACUACAACGACAGAAGCAGCAGCGCGAGAUCCGAAGCCCCGACGCCGUGAGCCAUUCAAGCUGAGAGAAUUCAGAGAACGCGCCUCGAACUGGAUGCGGUGUCACAGAUAAACUAAAACAAAUCGAAGUCAUGCUUGGGAUUAUUUUUUCUGUACUUCACCCUUUCUUUAUGUUUUCGUUAUGGUUUUUACAACACGUAAUCCGAAACAUAUUAGAUAAGUCAGGCGCAAGGCUGGGCCAACUCUGGACGGGACAAUCGCGGUCUUCAUCUGUCGUUUCACUUGUCACGGGGAGCGCAGAGACCGCACAGAUUUGGAGUAUUUACGGACAGAAGUCUGCCAUCUUCAUGGACACAAAGGAUCCCAAAAAGUAUUAACAGAAAAUACACUGAAUCAGAAGGACAGCGCCAUGCUGGUCAACUUUCCACACGUCCAGGAUAUUUUGAUAGACUGUCCAAAAUCUGGACAUCACCUUCGGGUCCCUCCAGACUCUUCUGUCCAGCCCUGCAGAAACGACAUUCACAUAAAGAGCACGAAAUCUGUGAUCUGAGCAGAAAGAAGGCCGUGCCGGGGUGCAUCACCUGCAUCAUCACCUAGUUGUCUUUUUGGAACAAUUUGGAUUUUAUUUUUUUCUGAAAUAAUUUUAAAGUUUUAAGUUUUAAACAAUUCUCUGACAUUUGUGCUCUCAUUUUCCUACCAAAAAGAAACUAUUAAAUGCCAUAUAUUCAAAAAUGUA